UACGUAGGUGGCAAGCGUUGUCCGGAUUUAUUGGGUUUAAAGGGUGCGUAGGCGGCUAUUUAAGUCAGUGGUGAAAUACGGCAGCUUAACUGUCGAGGUGCCAUUGAUACUGGGUAGCUAGAGUACUGAUGAGGUAGGCGGAAUGGACGGUGUAGCGGUGAAAUGCUUAGAGAUCGUCCAGAACACCGAUAGCGAAGGCAGCUUACUAAGGAGUAACUGACGCUGAGGCACGAAAGUGUGGGGAUCAAACAGG
rnacentral:rRNA from 1 species